rnacentral:rRNA from 1 species
GUAUUCAAUAACAAUUUCCAGAGCAACAUGCCAAAUCUCAUCUGAUCUCGGAAGCUAAGCAGGGUUGGGCCUGUUAGUACUUGGAUGGGAGGCCUUCAGUUUUUAAUGGGCCUUGUAACA